AUGAGCUUUGAUUGGGAAGACAUAUUUCCCCUUGUCUCUGUCCGUAAGCUGGUUAGGGAUGUUUCAGAUCACAACCCUCUGCUCCUAUCCACAUGCCCUGUGAAAAACAUUCCCCUUCAUAAUCGUGAAUUUAGAUUUGAGCUUAGCUGGUUGAAGAACGAGGAGUUUUAUAUAAAAGCUAAGAACAUUUGGGAGCAGCCGGUCAAUGCUAGCGACCCAAUCGAUAUCCUCAACAUUAAAUUAAAGCGCCUUAAGAAAUACUUUAAGGGUUGGGGGUCUCACUCUUUUGGCCAUGCCCGAAAGAGAAAAAAAGUGAUCAAAGAGGAGUUAGAGGAGAUUGAGAAGAUAGAGGAAUUCGAGCCCCUGACACCUGAGCUCUUUGAAAAAAGAACUACCCUGUGCGCUGAGCUUAAUGACAUCCUUGCUGAUGAGGAGCUCUUUUGGUUACAACACUCAAAUGAGCGUUGGUUGCUAAAAGGAGAUCAGAACACAGCCUUUUACCAUCGUGUUGCGAACGGAAAAAAGAGAAAAAACACCAUACAUUCCCUAACAGACGGAGAGGUGGUGAUUGAGGGCACUAAAAAUCUCCUAACUCAUGCUACCUCCUAUUGUAAAGAACUGUUUGGUCCAGCCAGAGGAAAUAUAUUCCAGUUGUCGCCUGAUGCCUGGUCUGAGGAAGAAAAGCUUACUAGUGAAGAUAACAUCCUGCUCACUAGUGAGUUUACUGUGGAGGAAGUUAAAAAGGCCUUGUUUAGUAUGGAGAGCAACAGGGCCCCCGGUCUGGAUAACAUACCGGCUGAAUUCUACAAACACUGUUGGGACUUUGUGAAGGAAGAUUUAAUGCGACUUUUCAAAGCGUUCCAUGACAACACCCUAGAUAUUGCGUGCUUAAACUAUGGGGUGAUCACUUUGAUCCCCAAGAUGAGUGGGGCUAAAAAAAUUUCAACAAUAUCGCCCCAUAUGCUUGCUUCGAUGCCCCUAUAA
rnacentral:rRNA from 1 species